rnacentral:rRNA from 1 species
ACUCUACGGGAGGCAGCAGUGGGGAAUAUUGCACAAUGGGCGCAAGCCUGAUGCAGCCAUGCCGCGUGUAUGAAGAAGGCCUUCGGGUUGUAAAGUACUUUCAGCAGUGAGGAAGGUGGGUAUGUUAAUAGCAUAUUCAUUUGACGUUAGCUGCAGAAGAAGCACCGGCUAACUCCGUGCCAGCAGCCGCGGUAAUACGGAGGGUGCGAGCGUUAAUCGGAAUUACUGGGCGUAAAGCGCAUGCAGGUGGUUUGUUAAGUCAGAUGUGAAAGCCCGGGGCUCAACCUCGGAAUUGCAUUUAGAAACUGGACAAACUAGAGUACUGUAGAGGGGGUAGAAUUUCAGGUGUAGCGGUGAAAUGCGUAGAGAUCUGAAGGAAUACCGGUGGCGAAGGCGGCCCCCUGGACAGAUACUGACACUCAGAUGCGAAAGCGUGGGGAGCAAACAGGAUUAGAUACCCUGGUAG